rnacentral:sRNA from 1 species
AUCGGGUGUGGUGGUGCACAUCUGUAAUCCCAGCAGCUUUGGAGGCUGAGGCAGGAUGAGUUCUUAGCCAGCAAGGCGCUAAGCAGCUCAGCAAGACCCUGUCUCUA